GACGAACGCUGGCGGCGUGCCUAAUACAUGCAAGUAGAACGCUGAAGAGAGGAGCUUGCUCUUCUUGGAUGAGUUGCGAACGGGUGAGUAACGCGUAGGUAACCUGCCUGGUAGCGGGGGAUAACUAUUGGAAACGAUAGCUAAUACCGCAUAAAAUUGAUUAUCGCAUGAUAAUUAAUUGAAAGGUGCAAAUGCAUCACUACCAGAUGGACCUGCGUUGUAUUAGCUAGUUGGUGGGGUAACGGCUCACCAAGGCGACGAUACAUAGCCGACCUGAGAGGGUGAUCGGCCACACUGGGACUGAGACACGGCCCCAGACUCCUACGGGAGGCAGCAGUAGGGAAUCUUUCGGCAAUGGACGGAAGUCUGACCG
rnacentral:rRNA from 1 species